CAUCAGAAAGUAUUUCUUCAGUCUUUAUGCUCAUGUUGAUAAUUAUGAAUCAAUGCAUACCAUGCAACUGUGUUCACAAUCCCACCAAUAAGCAGGCAUAAUGGUCAAAUGGAGCUUGCAAAAUAUGACAAAACCACCAUAGAUUCAAGAUACAAAAUAGAGCAGUAAAGUGACACCAGAUUAAAAUAUUACAUACAUUAGGUUGACAAUUUUGCAUUGAAGAGCUGAUACA
rnacentral:lncRNA from 1 species